UACGUAGGGGGCAAGCGUUGUCCGGAAUCAUUGGGCGUAAAGAGCGCGUAGGCGGCCAUACAGGUCCGUUGUGAAAACUCGAGGCUUAACCUCGAGACGUCGAUGGAAACCGUAUGGCUAGAGUCCGGAAGAGGAGAGUGGAAUUCCUGGUGUAGCGGUGAAAUGCGCAGAUAUCAGGAAGAACACCCGUGGCGAAGGCGGCUCUCUGGGACGGUACUGACGCUGAGACGCGAAAGCGUGGGGAGCGAACAGG
rnacentral:rRNA from 1 species